rnacentral:rRNA from 1 species
GGCCUUCGGGUUGUAAAGCUCUUUUGUCAGGGAAGAAACACCGGCUCUAACACAGUCCGGGAAUGACGGUACCUGAAGAAUAAGCACCGGCUAACUACGUGCCAGCAGCCGCGGUAAUACGUAGGGUGCGAGCGUUAAUCGGAAUUACUGGGCGUAAAGCGUGCGCAGGCGGUUAUACAAGACAGGCGUGAAAUCCCCGGGCUUAACCUGGGAAUGGCGCCUGUGACUGUAUAGCUAGAGUGUGUCAGAGGGGGGUAGAAUUCCACGUGUAGCAGUGAAAUGCGUAGAUAUGUGGAGGAAUACCAAUGGCGAAGGCAGCCCCCUGGGAUAACACUGACGCUCAUGCACGAAAGCGUGGGGAGC